AACCUGCCCUAUACACACGGAUAACAUACCGACCGGUAUGCUAAUACGAGAUAACAUAAGAGAUUCGCAUGGAUUUCUUAUCAAAGCUUUUGCGGUAUAGGAUGGACCCGCGUCUGAUUAGCUAGUUGGUAAGGUAACGGCUUACCAAGGCGACGAUCAGUAGCCGACCUGAGAGGGUGAUUGGCCACAUUGGAACUGAGACACGGUCCAAACUCCUACGGGAGGCAGCAGUGGGGAAUAUUGCACAAUGGGCGAAAGCCUGAUGCAGCAACGCCGCGUGAGCGAUGAAGGCCUUCGGGUCGUAAAGCUCUGUCCUCAAGGAAGAUAAUGACGGUACUUGAGGAGGAGGCCCCGGCUAACUACGUGCCAGCAGCCGCGGUAAUACGUAGGGGGCUAGCGUUAUCCGGAAUUACUGGGCGUAAAGGGUGCGUAGGUGGUUUCUUAAGUCAGAGGUGAAAGGCUACGGCUCAACCGUAGUAAGCCUUUGAAACUGAGAAACUUGAGUGCAAGAGAGGAGAGUAGAAUUCCUAGUGUAGCGGUGAAAUGCGUAGAUAUUAGGAGGAAUACCAGUUGCGAAGGCGGCUCUCUGGACUGUAACUGACACUGAGGCACGAAAGCGUGGGGAGCAAACAGGAUUAGAUACCCUGGUAGUCCACGCCGUAAACGAUGAGUACUAGCUGUCGGAGGUUACCCCCUUC
rnacentral:rRNA from 1 species